rnacentral:rRNA from 1 species
AGUGGCGGACGGGUGAGUAACGCGUGAGAAUCUGCCUUCAGGUCGGGGACAACAGAGGGAAACUUCUGCUAAUCCCGGAUGAGCCUUAGGGUAAAAAAUUUAUUGCCUGGAGAUGAGCUCGCGUCUGAUUAGCUAGUUGGUAAGGUAAAAGCUUACCAAGGCAACGAUCAGUAGCUGGUCUGAGAGGAUGAGCAGCCACACUGGGACUGAGACACGGCCCAGACUCCUACGGGAGGCAGCAGUGGGGAAUUUUCCGCAAUGGGCGAAAGCCUGACGGAGCAAGACCGCGUGGGGGAGGAAGGCUCUAGGGUUGUAAACCCCUUUUCUUUGGGAAGAACAAAAUGACGGUACCAAAGGAAUCAGCCUCGGCUGACUCCGUGCCAGCAGCCGCGGUAAUACGGAGGAGGCAAGCGUUAUCCGGAAUGAUUGGGCGUAAAGCGUCCGCAGGUGGCAAUGUAAGUCUGCUGUCAAAACCCAGGGCUCAACUCUGGUCAGGCAGUGGAAACUACAUAGCUAGAGUUCGGUAGGGGCAAAGGGAAUUCCCGGUGUAGCGGUGAAAUGCGUAGAGAUCGGGAAGAACAUCGGUGGCGAAAGCGCUUUGCUAGACCGAAACUGACACUCAGGGACGAAAGCUAGGGGAGCGAAUGGGAUUAGAUACCCC